GUGUUGUAUGAAAGGAGAGAAGGUUAGCAUGCCCCUUGAUAACAAUAGAAGAGGCUCUCAGGCCUGCACAACAAUUAAAAAAUAAAAAAAAAAAUUGUGUCUACUCAAUUAUUCA
rnacentral:ncRNA from 1 species